rnacentral:rRNA from 1 species
CACCGCCCAUCACACUAUAGGAGCUGGCCAUGUUUGAAGUGUUUACCCUUAACCGUAAAGAGGGGGAUGCCUAAGGCUAGGCUUGCGACUGGAGUGAAGUCGUAACAAGGUAGCCGUACUGGAAGGUGCGGCUG